AGCGAACGCUGGCGGCGUGCCUAACACAUGCAAGUCGAGCGCGGGCAUUUCGGGGGUAACCCCGGGAUGUGCUGAGCGGCGGACGAGUGAGUAAUACGUGGACAACCUGCCUUAAAGCUUGGGAUAACUCCGGGAAACUGGAGCUAAUACCGGAUAAGACCACGGUGUCUAUGGAUGCUGAGGUAAAAGGCGGCCAGGAAACUGGCUGUUGCUUAAAGAUGGGUCCACGUCCCAUCAGGUAGUUGGUGAGGUAAAGGCUCACCAAGCCAAAGACGGGUAGCUGGCCUUAGCGGGUAGUCAGCCACAC
rnacentral:rRNA from 1 species